rnacentral:piRNA from 1 species
UCAGCACAUUCAGGGAAGGCCGGAGGUUCCCA